rnacentral:rRNA from 1 species
CCUGGGGAGUACGGUCGCAAGAUUAAAACUCAAAGGAAUUGACGGGGGCCUGCACAAGCGGUGGAGCAUGUGGUUUAAUUCGAAGCAACGCGCAGAACCUUACCAGCGUUUGACAUCCUCAUCGCGGAUUAGAGAGAUCUUUUCCUUCAGUUCGGCUGGAUGAGUGACAGGUGCUGCAUGGCUGUCGUCAGCUCGUCUCGUGAGAUGUUGGGUUAAGUCCCGCAACGAGCGCAACCCUCGUCCUUAGUUGCCAUCAUUUGGUUGGGCACUCUAAGGAAUCUGCCGGUGAUAAUCCGGAGGAAGGUGGGGAUGACGUCAAGUCCUCAUGGCCCUUACACGCUGGGCUACACGCGUGCUACAAUGGCGGUGACAGUGGGCAGCGAGUGCGCGAGCACAAGCUAAUCUCCAAAAGCCGUCUCAGUUCGGAUUGUUCUCUGCAACUCGAGAGCAUGAAGG